AACGAACGCUGGCGGCAUGCCUAACACAUGCAAGUCGAACGAGACCUUCGGGUCUAGUGGCGCACGGGUGCGUAAAGCGUGGGAACCUGCCCUUAGGUUCGGAAGAAAUCCCCGAAAGGGGUGCUAAAACCGGAUAAUGUCCUCGGAACAAAGAUUUAUCGCCUUUGGAUGGGCCUGCGUUGGAUUAGCUAGUUGGUAGGGUAAAAGCCUACAAAGGCGACGUUCCAUAGCUGGUCUGAGAGGAUGAGCAGCCACACUGGGACUGAGACACGGCCCAGACUCCUAGGGGAGGCAGCAGUGGGGAAUAUUGGACAAUGGGCGAAAUCCUGAUCCAGCAAGGCCGCGUGAGUGAUUAAGGCCGUAGGGUUGUAAAGCUCGUUUACCCGGUAUGAUAAUGACAGUACCGGGAGAAUAAGCUCCGGCUAACUCCGUG
rnacentral:rRNA from 1 species